rnacentral:rRNA from 1 species
UACAGAGGGGGCGAGCGUUGUUCGGAAUUACUGGGCGUAAAGGGCGCGUAGGCGGCCUGCUAAGUCAUACGUGAAAUCCCUCGGCUCAACCGGGGAACUGCGUCUGAUACUGGAUGGCUUGAGUUUGGGAGAGGGAUGCGGAAUUCCAGGUGUAGCGGUGAAAUGCGUAGAUAUCUGGAGGAACACCGGUGGCGAAGGCGGCAUCCUGGACCAACACUGACACUGAGGAGCGAAAGCCAGGGGAGCAAACGGG